CGAACGGACGAGAAGCUUGCUUCUCUGAUGUUAGCGGCGGACGGGUGAGUAACACGUGGAUAACCUACCUAUAAGACUGGGAUAACUUCGGGAAACCGGAGCUAAUACCGGAUAAUAUUUUGAACCGCAUGGUUCAAAAGUGAAAGACGGUCUUGCUGUCACUUAUAGAUGGAUCCGCGCUGCAUUAGCUAGUUGGUAAGGUAACGGCUUACCAAGGCAACGAUGCAUAGCCGACCUGAGAGGGUGAUCGGCCACACUGGAACUGAGACACGGUCCAGACUCCUACGGGAGGCAGCAGUAGGGAAUCUUCCGCAAUGGGCGAAAGCCUGACGGAGCAACGCCGCGUGAGUGAUGAAGGUCUUCGGAUCGUAAAACUCUGUUAUUAGGGAAGAACAUAUGUGUAAGUAACUGUGCACAUCUUGACGGUACCUAAUCAGAAAGCCACGGCUAACUACGUGCCAGCAGCCGCGGUAAUACGUAGGUGGCAAGCGUUAUCCGGAAUUAUUGGGCGUAAAGCGCGCGUAGGCGGUUUUUUAAGUCUGAUGUGAAAGCCCACGGCUCAACCGUGGAGGGUCAUUGGAAACUGGAAAACUUGAGUGCAGAAGAGGAAAGUGGAAUUCCAUGUGUAGCGGUGAAAUGCGCAGAGAUAUGGAGGAACACCAGUGGCGAAGGCGACUUUCUGGUCUGUAACUGACGCUGAUGUGCGAAAGCGUGGGGAUCAAACAGGAUUAGAUACCCUGGUAGUCCACGCCGUAAACGAUGAGUGCUAAGUGUUAGGGGGUUUCCGCCCCUUAGUGCUGCAGCUAACGCAUUAAGCACUCCGCCUGGGGAGUACGACCGCAAGGUUGAAACUCAAAGGAAUUGACGGGGACCCGCACAAGCGGUGGAGCAUGUGGUUUAAUUCGAAGCAACGCGAAGAACCUUACCAAAUCUUGACAUCCUUUGACAACUCUAGAGAUAGAGCUUUCCCCUUCGGGGGACAAAGUGACAGGUGGUGCAUGGUUGUCGUCAGCUCGUGUCGUGAGAUGUUGGGUUAAGUCCCGCAACGAGCGCAACCCUUAAGCUUAGUUGCCAUCAUUAAGUUGGGCACUCUAAGUUGACUGCCGGUGACAAACCGGAGGAAGGUGGGGAUGACGUCAAAUCAUCAUGCCCCUUAUGAUUUGGGCUACACACGUGCUACAAUGGACAAUACAAAGGGCAGCGAAACCGCGAGGUCAAGCAAAUCCCAUAAAGUUGUUCUCAGUUCGGAUUGUAGUCUGCAACUCGACUACAUGAAGCUGGAAUCGCUAGUAAUCGUAGAUCAGCAUGCUACGGUGAAUACGUUCCCGGGUCUUGUACACACCGCCCGUCACACCACGAGAGUUUGUAACACCCGAAGCCGG
rnacentral:rRNA from 1 species